GUUGACCAUGUAUGGGAUUAAACAGGUUCACAGGAUGUAUGUUUGGCUUGCUACGGGUUCUGGCGGCCUUAAGCCGACCUGAAUCCUAGCGCCGGUAGCGGUCCGGUUUCCGGGUCGUUACAGAGUGGUAUCAGAUCCCUAGGUUCAUAUGGUCGGACCUAGAGUGUCGGGCUCAUAGAUGUGAUAGGAAGUCAAGCACAAUAGGAAAUCAUGUCCACUAGGAUAGGAUGUAGAGUCCUGUCUAGAAUGAAAGUAUGAUAUGCCAUGAGAUAUGCUAUGUAUAUGAUGUGGGUUCAUGUGUUUCCACAUGAACCAUUGGAUGCUAAUGUUUUGUUAUCUGUGCUGUUUUUCAGUAAACAGAAUGCGAGGAACUCGUCGAUCAGCUAGAUUGACUAGAGUACCACCGGAGGAUGAGGGCACGAGCGCCCGUCCUCCAGCAUUGCCAAGGGCAAUGUCAAGUAGGUCCAACAGGGACAGAGCAGUGGGAGACCCUAGAAGAUCUCUGGAUCUGGGUAGAAACAGAUCAGUAAGAGGAACGGUUCAAGGAGGCAGGUCAGUGGAUGUGGGAGAAGAGAUGGAUGUGGACCAGAGGAGGGAUGGUAGUCUUGGUGUGAGCAUGCCAGAAGAGGGCAUGAGUGAGUCUCAGGGAGGCACUCAGGCCUCGGGGUUCGUUCCACCACCCCAGUACCCACCUUUUUCACCAUACCCCGGGUAUUCGAUGGGAGGUACAUCGGAUUACCCCAGUUUUAAUCCUUACCCUUCUCACAUGCCAUACCCACCUUUCUACUCACAGUAUCCACAGUACCCUAUGUACCCACCUCCAUCCUUCCAUCCAGGCACAGCAAACCCUAUCCCAGGGGAUGCCGCACCUCCACCACCAGCAGAAACCGCAGUUACAGAAACCCAAAGACCUCAACCUACCUCAUCUGGAGGGAGCAAGGCCAAGAUGACCGACUAUAUGAAGUUGGGUGCUCCCCAGUUUGAUACCGGUGAUGAUCCGUUUGUGUACCUGGAGAAGGUCAAAACAAUUAUAGAUGAGAUAGGGGCUGAUGACAGUAGAGCCAUUCAGAUGGCUGGUUUCACUCUGAAAUGCAAGAAGGCACGAGAGUGGUUCAAGAACUAUGUGAAACCAAGGGUGGACAAUCUGUCAUGGGAGGAGUUUGCGAAUGAGUUCGCAGGAUGGGCUUUCCCUGACAGUUCCAGGGAGCUGAAGGUGAUUGAGUUUGAACAGCUGAAGCAGACAGAUGAGAUGGGUGUCGAUGAGUACACCGAUAGAUUCUUAGAGUUGUUGCCGUUUGCUGGGCAACAUCUGGACACAGAUCCGAAGAAGUCGAGGAGGUAUAUCAUGAGGCUCAAUUCCAGGUAUUCCUCUUUGAUUCAGUCAGCUGAUAGAGAAAGUUUCCAUGCCAUUAUAGACAUGGCCAGGAGAAUGGAGGCUAGUGCCGUAAUAGAGGGAAAAGUCAAGCAGUCAGUGGCACAGCCUUCUGGCUCUAAGACCCCAGGUGGGGGAAGGAUAGACCCUUCAUCCUUGAGUUCAGCUAGUAAGAAGUGGGGCAGUACCACUAAGAAACCAAAGAAGAAUAAGUUCUGGAGCAAGAUCAAAUCAGGUCUGGGAUUAGGAGGUGGCUCAAGCUCUGGUGCUGAUAACGCAGUGUGUGCAAGGUGUGGUAAGCUACACAGGGGGGUAUGCCAGUUUGGGACGACAGCCUGCUACAGGUGUGGGCAAGAGGGACAUAUGUCUUGGGAAUGUCCGAGGGCAGUUCCUACGGCACAGCCCCAGCAGACAACUUCGGGUAGCGUAGCACAGCCAGCAGCUUCAGCCGCAACACAGGCUAGUGGCAGAGGCCGAGGGAGAGGGUCAGCCUCUUCUUCAUCAGUUUACAGAGGGGAAGGUCCGUCAGCUCCAGCACGGAUCUUCACAAUGACGCAGCAGGAGGCAAACGCAUCCAACACCGUGGUGUCAGGUAAUAUCAUCAUUGGUUGUUCAGAUGUUUGUGCCUUAAUGGACCCGGGUGCAUCCCAUUCUUUUGUUUCUCCGAGAGCGGUCGAGAGGUUGGGUUUGAUGGUCUCUGGGUUAGAGUGUCCCCUAUGGGUCAGCGGACCCAAAUGUGACCCGUCAGUGGCAGAGUCAGUCUGCCAGUACAGUCCAGUUUUCAUAGAGGGAAGAUGCCUAUCCGCCNNNN
rnacentral:lncRNA from 1 species